GUAAGAGCCAGAAGUAGCCACACGGUGUCAGUCUCUACCCAGCUGCUGCUCCUCCGGCCGCCCGGCUCCGCACGCGGCGAUGCUGGCGAAAGCUUUGCUGUCUGCUUCAGGUGCCAAACUGAAGACCUGAAGGAGAAUUAUCUCAUACAACAUCAAGCAGGAUGCCCACUGCAGGCAGGGGAGAAGCGAAUCCCAUUUCAUCCACCAGAGCAUGAGGGGAUGUUUGAAGGUAGAACCAGAAUGUGCUUUCCUCCUGGGGAUGGAGGUGAGUUCCUGAUACCGCCAUGAGUGUUUAGAAGGUUAAUCUGCAUCUCAUUAAUUACUUUCAGGUUUUUAAUAAGAUUUUAGUUUCUGCAAAUAUUUCUGGAAUCAGAAGUGUGUGUCCCAAAGGCAGCCUCUCUUCCAGUAGUGCCACGUGUGAGCACAGUGAAGCAGUGGUCACCUAUCCGCAGACUCCCACCUGCUCAGAGGCACCAUAUCCUCUGCGGAACAAUGUCUUAAAGCCACUUCUCCCCGUCCCCAUUGAAAAACCUGACCUGAGUGCCACGAUCUUGCUGCAAAGCUGAGAAGGCAGGCAGAAAACACAAGGAAAUAACUGGUUUUGUUAUUAAAAUCCGCAGUACGGAGCAUGGGACAAAGCAAUUUCAAUUCCCCAAUUCUCUAAUUCCAGAGAGCUUUUCUUUGUAACCGAAAUACAACUUUUUAAUAUAGUCUUUGGCAAAAACGUGCUUCCUUUUAUUUUCCUCCUUGUGGAAACUUAAGAAAGCACUCUGUAACAUUGCGCACAGAGCAGCCUGCUCCUAUGCUGGGAAACACCAACCGCUCUCAUUUGGGAGGACCACUGCCAGCCCUGGCUAUGAUUAAAGCCCCAUAAAAAUGAAGAGAUUCUCUUGCCAGAUUCAUCCUGGUGUUGAAAGACAGAAGAAAGCUGUUGCCACUUUCCAGUUUCCCUUGGCGCGAGGAUUUUCCGAUGAGCCAGGACAUCCCAGGGAGGAAGGUCGGUGCUGGCCCACCUGCAUGCUGGCCGUGCUCAGCACAUCCCUCCUGGCACUGCAUUCCCAAGCACUGCUGAGCAGCCCUGGGGGUGCACAAAGUCUCUUUGGGCUCUGCAAUGAGCUCCUUGUUCACAUGAAAACCAUGCAACCCAGGCACACCACAAUACAAACCCUUCUUGGCUAUUGAAUGCCAUAAUUACAUACUGCGUAGCUAUGAGUAAUUGUGCAUAUGGAAAAGAGCUCUCAAAUCCACCGCUGUGUGCUGCUGGUAUAUAUGGCUGAUUUAUACACACAGCAUGAUUUAAACAGCCCACGGGCCAUAAUGUGCCCCCAAAUGUUUAGCUGAGUGUCCCCAAAUUUGUUUUGCACGUUUAUCCUUCCAUUUGUUCGGAACUUACGUGUUCUUUGACUUUACCCUGUGCCUUCCAGCACUAUUUCAUGGAAAUUCCAAUUUCCUGCCCUGAAAGAAAGCCUGAUGAUAAUGAGGAGCUUGAAGCUUUUCAAACAAAAAGGCAGUUUGAGUCAAUUCUGCAUUUUGCUUUUAAUCAAAACUAGUCGUAUGCAUUUGCAUCAACAACGAGCUCAGCCCACAAUGCUCCAUAUGGGCUUGGCUGCCGGCAUUCAGGGAAGGGCAGGGGCAGCUGAAAAAGCUCCCUGUUCCUCAAAGGUUUAAGGAUGACCUUGCAGAAGUGUCGUUUGUCAAGUGUCAGGUUUUCCAGAAUGGCUGGAUAAUAUCCCUGGAAACGAUCGGAGGAAUCAAAGAGCCAAAUUCUGCCAUGGCCAGAGCAGCACAGCAGCACUCACCUGCAGGGAGAGAGGGGGAAAUAGGGAACAGGAUGCUUUUAAUGGACCCUGAAAGAUUUUUUCACGAUGCUUUAUCUAGAUAUUUGUCUUCCGCUUUAGCCGUGCUUCAUUUUUCAGCCACUCUCUAUUGACUCUGUUUCAACUGAGCAUCCAAUAAAUAAGAAAACAAGCUACGGUCCAUUAAUCCGGACACCUAUUUGCAAUUCUGGGGUGUCUACAACAUGUGGAAACAGCCUUAAAACUUUUACUGCUCCCCAGUUCUGAGCUGAUCUCGCAGAACCCCCUUCACGCUAAUUCCAAGGAGGUCACACCCAGGAGGGGGUGUCCAUGUAUGGGCAGUUUUAGCACCGGGUCUCUAUUUCUGAGCAAAUUAAUAGCACCCAGAAGGGCUGCAGCACACAGACGGUGCAGGUCUGUUCUGCAGAGCGUGAACAAUUAGGAGAAAAGGGGACGGCAAAUCACACGGCAUCCCUGGAUGUGCUGCCGUGAGGGGUUGGACAAGUUUUGCUUGGGAAGGAUUUAUUUCCACUCAUUUUGGUCCUGUGGCUGUGAGAGGCUUGCAAAACCUUUCACCUUCUUUCCCAAGAGUCGUAUAUAUUUUAUGAGAAAUUUAAGAAUUACCUCUUAUUAAAAUGUGGAUAGUGUAAUUACCAAUAAAAAGCAGAUGUUGUGGCAUGACUAAUGCUUAAAAAUGUGUAUGUAGCAAGCACGACAUAGCAGCACAUCCAGGCUUUUCAGUAAGAUAAUAAAAGUUGUCUUUGUUG
rnacentral:lncRNA from 7 species